UGAAAGACGCGCAAAUUGUUAUCAUCCCUAUUCUCUGAGAGAUUUAUUUUGGCCACAUUGAUUGUGGCCAUUUUC
rnacentral:sRNA from 1 species